CCGAGUAAUGAAACUCCAAUGCGAAGAUGUUGAUCUGAUGCUUCAAGGUGAGUGUAUCGAUUCAACUCGCCAAUAUAAUUUGUAUAGUUGCAAACCAAAACUAGCUUAGAGCCAAAAAGAGUUUUUACUAUUAACAUUCUACGCCUUUUUGGGUAGGUUCCACAUCAAGACAUCCGAAUAAGCUCUAACCUGAUGUUAUGGUAAUCGAUCCCAAACAUGAAAAUUUCUUCAAAGUAUAGAUUUAUACAGUCAAAUCUAUCUACUCAAGGUAAGGUUCCAGCCAGAUCUGUACUAGAUUCACAACUUUGAGAUACUUUCUAUGUUGGUCUAUUUAACUAAACUUUUCUCCGUCGUUUAAGUAGGUUGACCCUCACAAAGAAGUUAAUACCACUGUCUAACUUCAGGAGAUGGAAAUUCAGUCAAAUAGGUUGGUAUAUAACUUACAUAUUCUAGUACAUUUGUAUUGUGAACCUUGUUUUAUGUAUUGUAACAACCUGUCAAAGGCCUCUUAUCUUUAGAUGAUUUGUAUGACUUGCAUUCCUAUGCAUUGUGUCGUUUACCUUCUGAAAACAUAGCCUUGAAACUCUUUGCUUAUCUAUGUUUAAUAGAUUUCUUGCUCUAAUGGGUAGAUUUGCAAAAUGAGUAUAGUUUAUCGAACAUGCAAAAUGGAAAACAAUGUUAACUAAAAUAUCUGCCACCUGGUUCCCAAUAGUAAUCCCUUCCGUUUCCUUCCAUUCUUGAAUCCUUAUCAUUUCCGUACUAAUAUUCCAUGGAAUCUUUCAAUCAUUUUCAAUGAUCCUUUUCAUUGCCAAAGAAUCAGUUUCCACCACUAAAGACAAAUAGUUUUGAGGCAAAAUUCUAUGCCCUGUUCAAUUGCUUUAGCUUCAACAUAGAGGCUUGUUGCAUUGGAGAUGCUAUUAGUACUAGCAUGAAUACAUUUCAAAUGUGUCAUUCCUGGCGCAAAAGGCCCAUGAUGCAAAACCAGAGUUUCCUUUUGAGGAGCCAUCUGUGUUGCAUUUAACAAAACCUUUAGGUGGAAAUUGCCAAUUAAUAGGCUGACAGAAUAUAUGAGAUUAAAGAGCUUUAAAAUAUUGCACAAUAAGAAUUUAGGCAUUGAGAAUUUUGGAUAGCCAAGGAUACAUCACCACAGAAUAUUGGCGCCGAUUAAGAUCAAUAUCAUAGAAGUCCCUAGCGGUAGACAUUACCUCCAUGUACCAAAUUGUUUCUCCAUCUUCAAAUGUGCCACACUAGAGAAGAAAUAAAAAUUCAUCCAAAUAAGUGUGAAGAUAUGUGUACUCACAGUCAUAUUGAGUCCAACCAAUGGUCAUUUUUUCAAGAUCAUACAGAAAAAGUUUGUUUGAUAACAUUAUAUCUGCAUAAAAAAUUUCACAAGUCAUGCCACCAACAUGUCUAGCAAUUAUGACAAGCUGCAUAUUUGAUACAUAAUUCCUGUUCAGCUGAGCCGUACUACUUUCACAAAUGAAUGGAGGAAUACUUACAAUUAUAAUUACAAAAGAAGAAAAUGUUAAUAAUAAAAUUUAUAAUUGAAUUUAAUUUUUUUCCAGGUUUGGAAAGAAUAUAUCUCUGACUACUAAACUGCCUUGCAACAUUACUCUUCAAAGGCUACAACAUUUAUUUCAAGCAAAUCCGGUCCAAAUGAAAAAAAUUAUUGACACAAGGUGUCUGACACAAGGUUGAGUUUCAUUAAUGUAACAUCCCGUAGUUAUAACACUCGAAUAACGCAUUCAAAACGAACCUUAGGACCCCAUUUUGAUGGUAGACCAUGUUUAGAUGUUGCGGGUUGUCUUGGGGUGCUUUUAGGCCUUAAAAGCGGGUGUGCGUCGUGAUUUUGACCCUCCACAAAGGCCUUGCAUCAUGGAACAAACGCAAACAGCCACUAGAUGGAGUUGGCUUUUGGCAUGCGCCGCCAACCCUGAGGCUGACUUUGGUUGUGUGCCGCCAAUCCUAAGGUGGGCUUUGGCUGUGUGCCGCAAGGCAAAAGCCAAGUAUCAUAAGUUGCUUAGUUUUCUUCUAUUUUAAGGGCGUUGAAGUCUUUUCACACCCUAUAACCAUUCCUAAUCUUAUAUGGACGAAAUUAAUCUCUUAACAUACGUUAUUUUCACUUCUCAAAUAUCUAAUUAUCACUCCAUAAGCGAGAGAGGAAAGAAUACCUAGGGUUGAGGAUUUUGAGUUCAAGAGGGUAAAUUACUCUACGUUUUUGUCCAUUUCAAGGUAUGUGGGACUAUCCUAAAACUCAUGGGCAUAAUCUUAUCGUUUAAACAAAUUUUAAAGGUGCAUGAUUACAUAUAUGAAACGGGUUUUUGAAUUGUUGAAGAGUAUGUAUUGUAAAUCCUGUUUUAUGAUGAAAUCUUGUAUAAACUAUGAGGUUCUUUUUUUGGCUAAACUUGAAUUGUUUUCAUUUGUACAUGGGUUAUGAGUUUUGAAAAUUGACAUGAGAGCAUACCUUACGAAAUUCCCUCUCUUAUUGUGAAUUCCAUUGCAUUAACAUGUUGUGGGUUGUUCAAUUGCAUGAUUAAAUAGCUUGAGUUAAAUGUUACAUUACCAAUUGUUGAUUUGCAGUGCUUUAUGAUUCUAUGAGAGGGUAUUUAUGAAUUUGUAAAUGCUUUACAUCCUAAUGGGAAAUUUCAUGUGUUUGAUGAUAGAAAUGACUACCCUAUGUUGAGGUACUAAAAAGGGAGUAUUUUGCAUGAGUUUUACAUGUUUUGAAAUAAGAACUCUCUUACAUUAAUUAAAUGUUUUGGUGGUCCAGUAACAUUCUUUUCGAUUGAAAAGACUAAGAUAUGAUAUACUAUGAUAUGGCAUAUACGACUUGCAAGUCUUGGUAUGACGAUACUAAAACAGAUAAAUGCUAUGGAAGAUUCAAAAUAGAACAAACUCCAGACUUCAGAUCAGAAUUUCAGUAAGAUGCAUGUUUUAAAAGGCUAAAAAUAGAUUGUAAGAGAAUUUAGAUGGUUAUACGAAGAAGGCACGGGUUCAGCUGACUCAUUUCCCAAAAUCGUAUUUUGCUGACGCGAGUCAUUAUAUCCUGAAAUAUGGAUAUUAUACGCUGGACAUGUGUCUUUCGGCGUAUCAGAAUAAGAGACUCCAGCCUGUGCGACAAACUUAGGUUGGGGGUUUGGCCUCCGAUUUAAUGGUGGACCCAUAUAGCCCAUGGGUAAUUAGAGUUGUAGGGUGUACCAUCUAGCUCAGAACUAAAGUAAAGACUUAAGUUGAUGUUUUACAAGCACGAGUGGAUGUUUUUCAUUGAUUAUGCCCAUAUGUUUCUAUAUAUAUUAUGAUAAAUUAUUUUCAGAAGGGCUCACUUAUUUUACAUGAAGUAUGUGUUAUUUUUGGAUUGUUAUACAUACUAGUACUUUCGAGUAUUGACCCCCCUAUCCACAGGUUCAGAGGCUCAGUCCCGGGGUCCAGCUCAGUACUAGAUUAUUCCCAUACUUUCAGAACUUGGUGAGCCUCCUUUACACCAAAAGACAUUCUAUUUAGAUGUAAUCUCAGUCAGUUUUAUGGUCCUGCCGGGGGCUUUGUCUCGGUUUAGUCAAAGUAGUGUUUAUUCUUUCAAUUUAGUAGAGGCUUUGUAGACUAGUGUAACAUGGAAUUUACAUUGUGAUAACAACUUUAUUGAUUGUAUGUUAGAGGGUACUUGUUAUCAAAUGCCUUAUAAUUUAAGAUGUUUAUUUGCUACUAUAUUAGUAUAUUGUAGCCCUGAUAAUCCAGAUGAAUUAUGGGAACGAUUUAAAGAUCCAAUAUCUGAAGAUGUUAAGAAUAUGGGAAAUAUUGUACCAAAAGAUAUCCACCUACCUAUUGUGAACCAUAUAAAUGAUAUAUUACAUUCUAUGGGACAUGAUAAUCAAAAAGUUCAACCUUGUUUCAGAAACUAUCACAUCUUCGAAAAGUCACUGAAGCAAAAAAGUAUAUUUUGAAAGAAACAUUAUUGUAAGUGAUGAAGAAUUGUUGUUACACAAAAUUAAAUACAGAACAAAAAAUAGCAUAUGACACAAUACUUCAGAGAAUAUAUACUAACAACUCGAGGGCAUUAUUUAUAGAUGGUCCCAGUGGAAGUGGUAAGACAUUCUUAUAUUGUGUCUUGUUAGCAACUGUUAGAUCCAAUGGAUUUAUAGCAUUAGUAACUGCAACUUCUGGUGUUGCUGCUUCCUUCCUUCCAGGAGGACGAACAACUCAUUCACGUUUUUUAUGUUUACGUAUGGAGUGAUGUCCUGAAUUUAUUAAAUUUGAUUAAAAGGGAUUGUUAUGCUUACAGUUUACCUUCCGCACAUCCAUUUCAUAUGACCUAUGCUUAUGAUUACAUGCUAAGAGGUCUCUCGGGUCUUCAUGGUUCAGGAUGACCGUUGCGACCAAGUCCUCGACUUGGGUCGUGACAAACUUGGUAGUAGAGCACGGUUCAGGGUCCCCGGGUGUCUACGAAGCCAUGUCGAGUAGAGUUUUUUUUAAUGGGUGUGUAGCACGUCAUACUUAUAAGGUGGAAGUUACGAGGCAUUUAGGAAUGUUUCUCUUUUCCUCAUGUUCUAGUUCAUGCUAUAGAGUCUGAAUGUUUCCUAACUCAUGAUUUCCUACAUUUCAGACCAUGUCUGAUCUAAUGAGCAGAUGACUUAUGUUGAUGAUGUCCGCCCUACUCAUGGGAUGCGGAUCCAUUAUAUAGCUCGUACCCAAGAAUUCAUUGCUACUCCAGGGGUUUCUCCAAUAUAAACCAGCCCUCCUCGGGCUCCUUGGUCCUAUGUUAAUCGUACUCAAUCCCCAUAGAGAGAGGUCUCAACUGUUGAGUUCCACCAGUCUGUCCAUAUGAUUUCUAAGCUUGUGGCUUUCAAUCUCGUUGGCCUAGAGAUGGGAGUUUUAUUCCUGGUUCUUCUAAAAUUACUCGAUUUGUCCAUUUCAUAAGGCUGAAUG
rnacentral:lncRNA from 1 species